GUGUAAUGUUGCUUGAUACACGAACGGAACCGAGCGAGCGAGACAGACCGAUCUACGCAAAAUAAAUGAGCAAGCGACACGGAAUUAUUCCUAGUGAUUUGAACCGUAUGCCCUGGCCGCUAGGUACAUUUUUAUACCUAUGGUACGUCUGAAUUUUAAUAUAGGUAUUUGUGUUUAUAUUUUUCAUGCGGCCAGCCGGUAGUUCCCCGCAAGUAGUUACUUAAUUUUUUAUUCGCCACUUUUGUAAAAUCGCUAGUCGCUCGUAAUUGUUUAGUAAUAUUUCAUAUUAAUUUUUGUGUUUGAAUUACUUAAGCACUUGUUUGAAGAUAGUUUUAUUAUUUGUUUUAAUGCGUGUUUAAUAAGUGAAAGAAAGAAUGGCAUCUAAAUUAAGGUACAGUCCUCUUUGGAUGCAUUUUGAGGAGACCGCGCCGAAACAAUGCAUCUACUGCUCUCGUAUAUUAACAUUAUCGUCGAGCUCAAUUUGCAGUCUAAGUCGCCAUAUGAAAUCCGUUCAUCCCGCAAUAAAUUAUAUUAAGUAAAAAAUAAAAUUAUUAUAUUAUUAUGCAAAAAUUUUCAUCUUUUACAGUUUUGGCUGAAGAUGUCAACAAAAAUUAUCAGUGUAAGUAUAUUUACCCUCUUGCAUAGCUGAGCAUAGGAUCAUUUGCUGGAUUUGGCCUUCUUCUCCACACCCGGUGUAGAUACUGUACGAAGAAUUCAAUGUUGGAUCUUCGAGCACCACUAACUAUAACCUGUGCUUCAUGUUCUACCAUGCUAACUACAAGUUGUUGGUGAGCCCGAGACAAAACAGGAUAUCUUGAAAUAAUAAUAAUAAUAAAUAUAGAAUUACAAUCACUUUCAAGAAAACCAUCUGGAAAAUCUCUGACAAAUACAGCUUUUAUUGUAUCUAAUUCAUAAACUCUAAUACUCAAUAAAAACAAAAUAUUUAUUUCAUUUAAAA